rnacentral:rRNA from 1 species
AGUCGAGCGGUAACAGGAAUUAGCUUGCUAAUUUGCUGACGAGCGGCGGACGGGUGAGUAACGCGUAGGAAUCUGCCUGGUAGUGGGGGACAACAUGUGGAAACGCAUGCUAAUACCGCAUACGCCCUACGGGGGAAAGGAGGGGAUCUUCGGACCUUUCGCUAUCAGAUGAGCCUGCGUGAGAUUAGCUAGUUGGUGGGGUAAAGGCUCACCAAGGCGACGAUCUCUAGCUGGUCUGAGAGGAUGAUCAGCCACACUGGGACUGAGACACGGCCCAGACUCCGACGGGAGGCAGCAGUGGGGAAUAUUGGACAAUGGGCGCAAGCCUGAUCCAGCCAUGCCGCGUGUGUGAAGAAGGCCUUCGGGUUGUAAAGCACUUUCAGAGGUGAGGAAGGGUGUGCCGUUAAUACCGGUAUGCUUUGACGUUAGCCUCAGAAGAAGCACCGGCUAACCCUGUGCCAGCAGCCGCGGUAAUACAGAGGGUGCAAGCGUUAAUCGGAAUUACUGGGCGUAAAGC